UGUGAUGGUAACUAUGGUUAUUACUUAUUUGGGCCUGUACACAUAUUAAUUAAUUAAGCCAAGAAAUUCUAUUAAAUAGGCUUAAAUAUAUAUUGUUUCCCAAAGAGUUGGGCUGUCUCACAUCUCGAAGUGCUGCACGUGCGAGGGCCCGUCCAUCGCUGCUUAAAGUUUUAAUUCAUGUUUGUUUUUUUCACCAGAUGUUUCCACCUGUUACCAGAAAUGUCCACAGUGCCGCAUGAUAUACAGAUACCAAGAAUGGAAGGACAGUCUCCACAACUUUGAUGACCAUGUUAUCUUAAACCUUAAGCUAUGUAUAUAUCUGAGACACAACCUACAGAACAGUGUUUCUGUUUCCAAGGUGUUAGACUCACUGGAAAGCUUGAGGAAGGUCAAAUUUCCUCCCAGAGAUACAAUUCUCCAUGCUUACUGCCACUUUGAGGCAUUGACAAGCCAUGCAUAUUCCUAUUCUUGCGUGUGCUGUGGCUAUUAUCCUCCAGUAUUUGUGAUGGACCUCCACAAGAAAAGUGUGUUUAACUUGCCCGGUUAGUCAGAAUAGAUGAGUGUUUGAUCUUUUUUCUUGGUUUGAUGUUCGUUUCAUUGUUAAAAUUUUUUUAAUCUUUCAGUGAGUGACAUGAAACAGCCCUCUGAGAAUUUCCCUGGCAAAGUGAAUAUAGAAGAUUUCUGGGAUUCUGUUCAGUUGGAAAUGAUUUCACAUGGCUUCUUUCAGAGUAUUUACAUGCUUAAAGUUUUGUCUUUAUUAUUAAAAGUACUUCACUUGUUUAUUAUGCAGUUUUCUUUCAUUAAUAUCUUCUUUGGUCUAUCUUUCUCAGGUCGUGCAAAGAACAUCUUUGCUGUGAAUCCUAGUUUUGAGCACUGGGCCCCAUGGAUUGGAAAGAAUACACGAAAAUCAGAAAUGGUGUUGAACACAGAGUUUGAAAAAGUUUCCUCCACUUUUCAGAAGUCCUCCACUGAAGCUGAAGUCAGCAUGGUGUCAGAGGACCGUCUAGUGGACGAGCUCAUGAAGCAGAAGGUUUCAACUGUGCGCAAGCUAUGCAAAGCCUGCAAUUUGGAUUCAAAGGGAUCACGGACAGAUCUUGUUAUAAGACUAAGGGAUGAGAUGAAGUCAAGGCACACGUAUGACAAUAUAUUCCAGAAAAUCUGGGGAGCAUCCGGUAAGGGUUUCAUAUAGUUCUUAAAAGCCAUUUUCAAAUGUCAAUUAGCACUUCCUAACAACUUUCUUGUUGCCAUUUUCUUUAAAAGUGAGUGGUCAGUGGUUUUGUGCCCUCAUAGUGUGGUCUACAGUUUAAAGUUCAACCUGAGGGCAGAGUUUCCAAAGGAUUUUGCAGAUCUUCUCAUGUCCUGGAAACACCUGCCAAAUGUCUGUGUUUAUGACUUUGCUUGGGGUUUGGCAACUCAUGUCAACCUCCGUUUUCCAACUUCCAUACCUUUCAAGCCACAUGAAGGGAGGCUGGCUGCGUCAACCCAAGACAACAUGACCGCAGCUCAGCAAAAAAAACUUCAGAUCUUCCUACCGUGGCUGACUGAAAUUAUGGAAAAUCCAGAUGAAGAGGGACAUCCAUUCACUGGUUCCUCAAACCAUUAUGUCUUAUAAAUUCCAUGAGGCCAACACCAAAGAUCCACAGGAAGUGUUGAGGAGAAUCAACCUGGUCACAGAACUGCAAAGUUCGUUGAAUAGCCAGGUAGCCAAGCAACUUUUUUCAAGUAUGCGGAAGAACAACUACUUCCUCAAUAACAUGGCACCAUCCACCCACAUAUUUUUGAUGAGAAGCCUAGUAAAUCAAAGAAACAUUAACACAAACACAAAGCUUUUGGAACAGCAACUACACAGUGGACAUAAGUCGCAUCGUUUGCAGGAUAUCACCAUGAAUGCCUUUGGACAUGCAGUAUUUGACAAUGACCAAUGUGGAAAACAUUGUAAAUCCAUCACAAAAUGUGAGAACGUUGGACCAUACAGAGCAUCAUGGACAAGUGAUCAAAGUCAUCCCACCCAGGAGAAGCUGCUCAACUACGUGUUGGACAUUGAGAAGCCAGUGACAGAGUUGAUUGUGAAAACAAAAAAGAGUGUCCUGACACGUGCUGACUUUUGGAGCCUUGGUUUGAACAAUGAAAUGGACGCAACAAUUGGAAAUGCGUGCUUUGAGCUUAUCGAACAAAUUCAAUCAAAGGUAUAAAAUGCAAAUUUUCG